GCUGUUCCUGUCCUCAUGCUGCUUGGUGAUGGGGCAAUGGGGGAAGGCUGGGAUGAAGAAGGCUUUUUGGGACUAUCUCCUGCUCCGGCUGUGCCUCGGAGGUGCUGGGUGCAGGAGGCCCAGCCCGGCCGUGGCUGGGGGUGGCAGAGCAGCCUGGCAGGGGGCUGCUCCUUCCCCUGUUUCUGGAAGGUCUGAUGCUGAGCACGGCACCAUGGCCGUCCUUCUCUGCCGAGGGGGAUCCAGCCCCCAGCGCCAUCGAGCCAGACCUGGGGCCAAGGUCACAUUCCUGACAAAGAGAGGGGAAAAAAACCCCAGAAUAAAACCAACCCAAAGCGGAAGAAAAAGCAGCAUGCUGCAAAACCCAGAAGACAAAUGAGGAGCUGGAAAAUUUUGAAGCAGCCACAAGGAAUUUCAGGGUUGGCUUUUUUUUUUUCCAAAAGUCUUGCUGACCCCGUGUGGCUUCUCCUUGCCAUCCGGCUUGCGGGGAGAUGCAGCAAGCGGGUGCCUGCUCCGCCACCGUGCCGACUUAUUGCCAAGCCUGGCUUUUCCCAAAGAGCCGCUGCUGCCUGGAGGAGCCGUGUCUGUCUGCUCUUCGUCAGCAACACGGCUCAGGCGGCCGCGCUGCGAUUUUCUCGCCUUCUUCCAGCCCAGCGCUCCCUUUGGAAGUGUUUGUAGCGGUGUCUGAAUAACCUAAUUUAGAGUCCGUUAGAUGGGGAGGGUUUUGGCAGGCGGCGCUGUGCCGGGGAGCCGGAUGGAGGGAUGCAGCUGGCCGGGAACGUGGCUUUGGCAGCUGUUGCUGGAUAUUCUCAUGGAGAGAAAACAAGACUGGGAGGGUCCUGCAGAGAAAAGCCAACCUCCUCCCUGCCCGGGAGCGCUUGAUCACUGCUAGCUGGUGCUUCCUCACCCAUCCCAGCCCCCUCCCCUUCCAGGGGGCCUGGUCCCCUCCCCGUUGUCCUUUCCUGACUGUUCCCACAUCUUCCCCAGCUCCUGUUUCCCCAGACUAAACACCCACCAGACUUUUUACCUUUCA